rnacentral:rRNA from 1 species
AAGCUCGUAGUUGAAUUUCGGGAUCAAUGUUUCGGUCAUGCCGUUGGUAUGUACUGAUAUUAUUGAUUUCUCACCUUCUAAAGAACCGUAAUGCCAUUAAUUUGGUGUCACGGGGAAUUAGGACUGUUACCUUGAAAAAAUUAGAGUGUUUAAAACAGGCUCACGCUUGAAUACAUUAGCAUGGAAUAAUGAAAUAGGACAUCCGAUUCUAUUUUGUUGGUUUCUAGGAUCGAUGUAAUGAUUAAUAGGGAUAGUUGGG